rnacentral:rRNA from 1 species
UGGGGAAUUUUGGACAAUGGGCGCAAGCCUGAUGCAGCCAUGCCGCGUGUGUGAAGAAGGCCUUCGGGUUGUAAAGCACUUUCAGCGAGGAGGAAGGUGGUGAGCUUAAUACGCUCAUCAAUUGACGUUACUCGCAGAAGAAGCACCGGCUAACUCCGUGCCAGCAGCCGCGGUAAUACGGAGGGUGCAAGCGUUAAUCGGAAUUACUGGGCGUAAAGCGCACGCAGGCGGUUUGUUAAGUCAGAUGUGAAAUCCCCGGGCUCAACCUGGGAACUGCAUUUGAAACUGGCAAGCUAGAGUCUCGUAGAGGGGGGUAGAAUUCCAGGUGUAGCGGUGAAAUGCGUAGAGAUCUGGAGGAAUACCGGUGGCGAAGGCGGCCCCCCUGGACGAAGACUGACGCUCAGGUGCGAAAGCGUGGGGCAGCAAACAGGAUUAGAUACCCUGGUAGUCCAGCGCUGUAAAACGAUGUCGAUUUGGAGGUUGUGCCCCUUGAGGCGUGG